UUUAUACAAUGGAGAGUUUGAUCCUGGCUCAGGAUGAACGCUAGCGGCAGGCCUAACACAUGCAAGUCGAGGGGCAUCGGGAUUGAAGCUUGCUUCAAUUGCCGGCGACCGGCGCACGGGUGCGUAACGCGUAUGUAACCUACCUAUAACAGGGGCAUAACACUGAGAAAUUGGUACUAAUUCCCCAUAAUAUUCGGAGAGGCAUCUCUCCGGGUUGAAAACUCCGGUGGUUAUAGAUGGACAUGCGUUGUAUUAGCUAGUUGGU
rnacentral:rRNA from 1 species